rnacentral:rRNA from 1 species
AACGAACGCUGGCGGCAGGCUUAACACAUGCAAGUCGAGCGCCCCGCAAGGGGAGCGGCAGACGGGUGAGUAACGCGUGGGAACGUACCCUUUGCUACGGAAUAGCUCCGGGAAACUGGAAUUAAUACCGUAUGUGCCCUGCGGGGGAAAGAUUUAUCGGCAAAGGAUCGGCCCGCGUUGGAUUAGCUAGUUGGUGGGGUAAUGGCCUACCAAGGCGACGAUCCAUAGCUGGUCUGAGAGGAUGAUCAGCCACAUUGGGACUGAGACACGGCCCAAACUCCUACGGGAGGCAGCAGUGGGGAAUAUUGGACAAUGGGCGAAAGCCUGAUCCAGCCAUGCCGCGUGAGUGAUGAAGGCCCUAGGGUUGUAAAGCUCUUUCGACGGGGACGAUAAUGACGGUACCCGGAGAAAAAGCCCCGGCUAACUUCGUGCCAGCCGCCGCAGUAAAAC